rnacentral:lncRNA from 1 species
UCUGAACUGAAAAGCCGCCGCCCACACCAAAAAACAAAGAGCCAAAGACGAUUUAUCGUCUUCUCCCUUCCGCAUCUGUCUCUUCAUAGAUGCCCUUCCUUCACCUUCAAUUUUCAUCCUUCCUCUUCUCCCUUUCGUAUCUGUCUCAGUGUCUCUUAACUCUCUUCCUUCAAUUUGCAUCCUUCCUCUUCUCCCUUCUGCAUCUCCCGAAGAAAACCUCAGGCUUCUCUCUUCACUUGCAGGCUUGCAGCAUAACAACAAGGCUCCUCCAUUGAUAAGUGUAUCACUGUAAAUUUCUAGGCUAUGUUUUGGUGUGCGUUAGUCCUGCUCCCUUGCAUUUUGUUGGUGUCUUCAAAUAUGGGUUUAGUUUCAAUCUUCUUCAAUGUGGUCUAACCAUCUUCUAUGAACCAUGCACUUGCUAGCCUUAGAAAUUAAGAGGCAUCACUUGUACUUCACUAGUAACAUUUGUUCGAAUCAUGAUCUGAAUCUUUGAUAGCUCCAGCUUAUAUGAACACAAAGUGACUGUUGUAGUUUUAAUUUGGAGAUAGAAGUGAAGUUUCGAAAUCUGAAGCUUUGAACAACACCACUUUGAUCAGUAGGUUUUAUUGAAUGCAAUGCUUCACUUACAAAAAUUGCAGAAGUGCAGUUGAUUGGAGCU